GACUCCUCUUCCUCUCUUCGAGUUGGCGGACUGUCGGGCGCCGAUGCCGGCUCUCCAACCCUAGGCGUGGCUCUAGGUCGCUACAAUAGUAUGUCGAUGGUACAGUGUCAAAUAUGAAAUGUCUGACACGUAAUCGAUUCCCCAUGAUCAUUUCGUCUUUAUCUAUGUGCAUGAUCCGAGUACGAGUACUUGUCUUUAUCUAUGAGUACGAGUACUCUCAUGUCGCUGCAAAUUCUGGUGUCCAUAUAAUGGUGCAAUUGGAAGAAAAGUGUUGAGCGAUUAUCAACUACGGUCAGUGGAUUACGAGAUUGGCUGUGUUCCAUUACUGGCAAUUAGCCAGCUCAUUAGAGGCGAGGUGGCUGUCUGGUGUGCUCCUAUAUCACCUCGCAAGUCGGUUUGUUUAAGUGUUGUGGCGUAAUUGCUUCAAAUAUAAUCUAGCUUUCAACAUGUAGCUUUUUAUCAAACUAAAAUAACUAGUUUUUUCCCCCUCUUCUUAAUCGGUAAUUUUUCCUGCUGCCUCAAAAUUUUGGUAUUUUAUUUGGUAAAUUGUUGUUAGUUAUCUUCGAGGAAUUACUCAAACUUAAUUAAUAAUUUGGUAUGAAGGGUUGCACUCUUCAUUGCAUAAUUUUGUUAAAACCAAAUUUCUAACGGCCUACCAAAAAAGCCGAGUUGUACGCAUAAUAAUCUUCCUUUUUCUUUUUGCAAUGUUUCGCAUCCAUGUUUCAGCUCAUAUUUUGAUUUUUCUUGAGCGGAAUGCUCGGUUCACUAACAUUGUCUUCACUAUAAGCCAUUUAAAUAUAGUUUAAAAAAAUAAUUUUUCUCAUCUUAAAUACUUUCACUUAAAUUGACCUGAACUCACACCACACUAAUGCUGCUUACAAUCAAUUAAUAAUUUAUAAAACUGCGACUGCAACCCAAUAGGUUAGACGGUUUGUGUAAAACAUUAAAAUUCUGCGAAUUGCAAAAAUUGCUCGUUUUGCAGUCUUGUUAUUAAUUUACCCAAAUAUUAGCGUUAAAACGUUUAGCAAACUUUACAUCUGUACCCCUCGAGCAUCUAUCCGCUUUUGAGAAUGGAUCCUCUUUUCCCAUUAAAGUUAAAAAUGGGUUACAGCGCGUUUUGGAGCUGAAAACUUCAUCAAGUAAUGCGAUGUGGUCUUUUAGAAGACUGGCGCCGAUAUCGCAAUUUCAAUAUUUUUUGCAUAUGAGCUUCUCAUUUUAAAUAUUAAAAUUUGACAUCAACAAUUUGAUUAACCAGUGCCAUUCAGAUGUUGAUGUUUAUUCCAAAGUAUUUAUGUGUUAUAUAAGUUUCAAGGUAUGAUGAACAAUUUGUUGUUGAAUUAUUGAUUUUUGAUCAUCCAUUAAUUUUUGCAGCUGUUCCAUUUUACUUUAUUUAGCACAAUCUGGCUACGAUACACGUCUGCUAAGAACCGCCUGACACUGCCUCUGCUUGAUUACUCACCUGUGACAUUGUCCACGACAGUAUAUUAUUUGGAGAUCGCUAAAAUGUCAUUCUUUGGAAAUGCAUUUGUUGAACUAAUUUGAUAUGGAGCAUUUGUCUCUUCGAGAGACUGGCAAAUCGAAAGACAAACAUACAUCAGUUUGCCUCGACUUGUUUGUUUGUAUAUAUAAACAAUUAUGACGAAUGUUUUUGAGGUUUAAGAAACAUGCUUCUUGAAACCGAUAACCUUUUGCUUCAGUUGGGCGAUUGAAAACGGGUGCAAACAAUAUAAGAUCUAAUUGAUUGAAUAUAA